rnacentral:rRNA from 1 species
CACGUAGGGCACAAGCGUUGUCCGGAAUUAUUGGGCGUAAAGAGCUCGUAGGCGGUCUGUUACGUCUGCUGUGAAAACUCGGGGCUUAACCCCGAGCCUGCAGUGGAUACGGGCAGACUAGAGGUAGGUAGGGGAGAAUGGAAUUCCCGGUGUAGCGGUGAAAUGCGCAGAUAUCGGGAGGAACACCGGUGGCGAAGGCGGCUCUCUGGGACGGUACUGACGCUGAGACGCGAAAGCGUGGGGAGCGAACAGG